rnacentral:rRNA from 1 species
UAACAAGGUCUCCGUUGGUGAACCAGCGGAGGGAUCAUUACCGAGUUUACAACUCCCAAACCCCUGUGAACAUACCUUAUGUUGCCUCGGCGGAUCAGCCCGCGCCCCGUAAAAAGGGACGGCCCGCCGCAGGAACCCUAAACUCUGUUUUUAGUGGAACUUCUGAGUAUAAAAAACAAAUAAAUCAAAACUUUCAACAACGGAUCUCUUGGUUCUGGCAUCGAUGAAGAACGCAGCAAAAUGCGAUAAGUAAUGUGAAUUGCAGAAUUCAGUGAAUCAUCGAAUCUUUGAACGCACAUUGCGCCCGCCAGUAUUCUGGCGGGCAUGCCUGUUCGAGCGUCAUUUCAACCCUCAAGCCCAGCUUGGUGUUGGGAGCUGCAGUCCUGCUGCACUCCCCAAAUACAUUGGCGGUCACGUCGAGCUUCCAUAGCGUAGUAAUUUACACAUCGUUACUGGUAAUCGUCGCGGCCACGCCGUUAAACCCCAACUUCUGAAUGUUGACCUCGGAUCAGGUAGGAAUACCCGCUGAACUUAAGCAUAUCA